AGUGGGGGAUAACGUAGCGAAAGUUACGCUAAUMCCGCAUAUGCCCUGAGGGGGAAAGGAGGGGAUCGCAAGACCUUUCGCUUUCGGAGUGGCCGAUAUCAGAUUAGCUAGUUGGUGAGGUAAAGGCUCACCAAGGCGACGAUCUGUAGCUGGUCUGAGAGGACGACCAGCCACACUGGGACUGAGACACGGCCCAGACUCCUACGGGAGGCAGCAGUGGGGAAUUUUGGACAAUGGGGGCAACCCUGAUCCAGCCAUGCCGCGUGAGUGAAGAAGGCCUUCGGGUUGUAAAGCUCUUUCGGACAGAAAGAAAUCGCACUUACUAAUACUAGGUGUGGAUGACGGUACUGUAAGAAGAAGCACCGGCUAACUACGUGCCAGCAGCCGCGGUAAUACGUAGGGUGCGAGCGUUAAUCGGAAUUACUGGGCGUAAAGCGUGCGCAGGCGGUUUUGUAAGACAGAYGUGAAAUCCCCGGGCUUAACCUGGGAACUGCGUUUGUGACUGCAAGGCUAGAGUGYGGCAGAGGGGGGUAGAAUUCCA
rnacentral:rRNA from 1 species